UACGUAGGGUGCAAGCGUUAAUCGGAAUUACUGGGCGUAAAGCGUGCGCAGGCGGCUUUGCAAGACAGAUGUGAAAUCCCCGGGCUCAACCUGGGAAUUGCAUUGGAGGCUGCAAGGCUAGAAUCUGGCAGAGGGGGGUAGAAUUCCACGUGUAGCAGUGAAAUGCGUAGAUAUGUGGAGGAACACCGAUGGCGAAGGCAGCCCCCUGGGUCAAGAUUGACGCUCAUGCACGAAAGCGUGGGGAGCAAACAGG
rnacentral:rRNA from 1 species